rnacentral:lncRNA from 1 species
GGGACAAAGAACAAGUAGAAAGCAAGCAGAAAACAAGCAUCAGGAUUUAAAGUAUGACUUGAAAGUUGCACACAUCACUCGUAAACCAUUUAGCAACAGAAUAGUAAAGUUAUUUAGACCACAGAUUCAGUAGAUAGAUGACUUGGGUCCAAAUCCUGACUCUAACACUGAUGAGCUGUGUGAGUAUGGACAAGUCAGACUUAUGCUCCCUUUACCUAAUUAUAAAAUAGGACCAGUAAUUAACACUUAGCUUAUAAGCAUUAAGUAAAUGUUGGUUAUUUUUCUUGUUUUAGAGCUACCAUAAACAAGCUAAGUAAUAAUAGCAGUGACAUGGGGGCACCUUGGUGGCUCAAUAGUUGAACGUUUGCCCUUGGCUCAGCUUGUGAUCCUGGUGUCCUGGGAUCAAGUCCCAGAUCAGGCUCCUGUGGGGAGCCUGCUUCUCCCUCUGCCUAUGUUUCUGCCUCUCUCUCUCUCUGUGUGUGUCUCUCAUGAAUAAAUAAAUAAAAUCUUAAAAAAAAUAAUAAUAGCAGUGACAUAGAUUUACUUAGAUUUAGCCAUAUCACAUUAUUUCCUUUGCCAUACUAUUGCCUUUAGAAUACCACCUCUUUUCUCUGGUAUCAUUUUCUUCAUACUGAAAUACAUCCUUUAGCUUUAUGCCAGUGAUAAUCUAUGAGUGGUAUGCUUUCUCAAACUUCAUUUGUCUGAAGAUGUCUUAGGUUUGCCUCCACUCUUAAAUUUUUUUGUCUGCAUAAAUAUUUUUUAAAUUUUUAUUACAUUUAUGCAUAUUUUUUCCAAUACAGAGCUGUUAUAUUCAUUAUUUUGUGGACUCACAUAAAAGUUAUCUGUUUGUUUUAAGAUUUUUAUUUUAGUCGUGGUGUUCUCUGAUUUCACUAUAAUGAACCAAGGUGUGGCUACUGUUUUUUUGUUUUGUUUUGUUUUCCUUUCUUUUAUAUUUUCUUUUUUUUAAAUUUUUAUUUAUUUAUGAUAGUCACAGAGAGAGAGAGAGAGAGAGGCAGAGACACAGGCAGAGGGAGAAGCAGGCUCCAUGCACCGGGAGCCCGACAUGGGAUUCGAUCCCGGAUCUCCAGGAUCGGGCCCUGGGCCAAAGGCAGGCGCCAAACUGCUGUGCCACCCAGGGAUCCCCUCUUUUAUAUUUUCUAAAGCUCUUUUAAUCUCUAUGCUAUGUUUUAGAAAAUUUCCUCAGUUAUGUCUUCCAGUUCACACGUUCUCUCUUCAGCUUCAUUUACAUAACAAAGUCAAUAACUAAAAGGCUCCUGGGUGGCUCAGUCAGUUAAGUGUUAGACUCUUGGUAUUGAAUUGGUUCAAGUCAUGAUCUCAGAGUCAUGAGAUCAAGCCCACAUUGGGCUCCAUGCUCACUGGGGAGUCUGCUUGAAGGUUCUCUCCCUCUACUCCUCACCCCCACUCAUGUUGGUGCUUGCUCUUUCUCUCAAUAUCUUUAAAAUAAGUAAGUAUUUAAAGAUAAAUAAAAUAAAAAGUAUGUUGCAUUUUCAAAAGAUUUGACUUUUCUUUGUCAGUUAUCAUAGUUUCUUUGUCAGUAUAAAAAGUUACCUUUUUAUCCUCUGUGAUUUCUAUAAUUUUUUAUUAUUUGUAUUGAUUAUAUUUAUUUGGAAUUAAAAAUUGUUCUUUUAUCUUACAUUAUUGGAUUCCUUAUUGUUUCAUUCUCAUGCCUAUUAAUGCUUAGUGGGUUAUGUUCUUACUGGAUUAUUAUUUUUCUUAUAAUCUUAUUUUAUGUUCAUGUUGCUGUAGGAACCAAGCAUCCUUGACUCUAGAGUUGCAUUCUAGAGGAACUUUCCAGUCUAUUCUGACAUUGAAAUUCUGUGUGAUAUUGUACAAGUCAUCCCCUGUCUCUGUGUCUCAGUUUCUAUAACUUUCUUAGGUGUCUUCUGAAUACUAAACUUUCUUUUUAUUAUCCAUACCAGCUCCUGAGAAGGAAUGGCCCUGUCUUGGCCAAGUAGUUCUGCUUUUUCCCAGGAUUUUCAAGAUACAUGUCUUUAUUUAAGGGGAUUUAGUUUUAUUUAUGUUCAGUCUGUCAGGAUUCCCUGCUGGGUGGUAAAAGGACAAUAGGGCAAGCAAGUUGGCAUACUCUCUCCAUAGCAAUGAUUUCUUCUCCAAUGAAAAUGACCUCUUAGAUUAUAGGAACAGCAGCUAUGUAGGUGUUGCUACUGGAAAAAAACAAAAAACAAAAAACAAAACAAAACAAAAAAAUCUUUGGUAUUUAAAAUAGAAACAUAAAAUUGUUAAUGUGUCUAGAGACAACUUGUACUGCAUACAAAAAAAUGAAAAAUGAAGUUCUAAUGAAAUAUUAUUAGAUUCAUUAUACAGAAGCUUAAGAUUUCUCACCACUGUCUAUGAGGUUUUAAUAAACAGGAAUGUGCUGUAAUUUUUGCAGUAUUCAGGAAUUGGGUUUGAACCUCAAAAUAAGGCCAGGACAUCAUAUUUAAGUAAGUGCUGAAGCAAGGGAGAAAAAGGAAUUUAAAAAGAAAAUUUUAUCAGUGUCAAAUAUAAAUUUGAAAAGAAACUUACAGGUUAUGUAUUCCACCCUCUUACUUACUGCACAACAACAACUUCAGUGUCCCUAAAAAGACAUCUGUUGUUUGAACAUUUCCUGUGAUGGAGAGCCCACUGCCUCAUGAGGCAUCCCUUCCAAUUUUGUGAUGGCUCUAAGUAUUGAAAAGUUCUUCCUCAUAAUGACAUGCUUCCAUAUUUGGAGUGUUUUGUUUUGUUUUAUAUACAGAAAAAAUGUUCUCACCUGUAGUAAUGAAAUGCAUCUCAAUGCUAUCCCACACAUACCCACAGAAUGUCUCUUAUUGCCCUGGUACUGUGCUAAGUUGGAGAUAAGCAGUACUGUGAUCUCCCUUUUUACUGAUGAAAAAAUAGUAAAUUUUUAGAGGCCAGGUAACUUGCCCAAGGUCAUACAGCUAGUAAAGAAUGGAUCAGAGACUUGAAAAUUAGCUGCCUGCCCCCACAAAUUAAGUUGUCUGAGCCUAGGAGCAGGACCUGCUCCCUGUAUGAUUCCUCUCUAAAUCAUGUAGGGAGCCCAAAUAUAAACCUAACUGAUAAUAACAGAACGUGACAAAUGUUAACAGAAGAUAGGAAAGAACAGCUACUAAUGCCUGUCCAGAUUGGAAACGGUAGAUUUUGAAGAGUAGAUAUCAUCAAUGCUGAUAUAUCGUUAUCUUAAUGUUGUUUUAUCUAUUGCAAGAACAGUCUCUUCCUCCUACUAUGACAUAAACUUACAUCAUGGUACCCCCCUGUUCUCAAUGUUAGUUUUAGAAAAUGCUAAAUUCUCAGUAUCACUGAGAAAUGACCUUAUUACACAUCUUGUAAAUAUUUUUGGAGCUGUUUAAAUAAUACUUUGUACCUCUUUUCAGAGAACAUGCAUCUCAUUCCUCUUAGGGAUUUCUCUAAGUGAAUUUAAGACUACUGAGUAUCAAGAGUAAAAUGGCCAAUUGCUUUAGAUCUCUAUACCCCUAUCUUGAAAGAUUCACCCUUCAUCAAAUUGUUAGUGAGAUAGGCACUUGAAUGAGGUGAAUGUUUGAACUAUGAUGUUCCCAGAAUUAACCGCAAUCUUAUAAAUCAGAUCCAAUGGAUAUUUUAGCAUCUAAAAACUAAUUGCAUAGAAGAAACUGAACAAAGGAAAACUGGUUAUGCUACAGUUUAACUUUUUAUUUAUAUGGUGUUUAUUUAACAUCUGGCAACGUAUGUCAUUAGAGAAUAUGGCAACCCUGUCAUUAGAGAGAGAAUGUAGCUCUCCCAACAUGUGGGUUUCCCUUCUCCUUCCCUCCCUUUGCUUUUUCCUUCUUUGUUGUCUUCCUCUCGCUUUCCAUUACUCUUCCUUUCCUUCCUUAUGCUUUAGUUGCCUGUUAUUAUCCCAUGAAGUUCCUGUUUUGUAUUGUUUUGUUUUUUUUUUUUUUUUGAGUUAAAAGUUGACACCUUUCUGAGAUUUUCAGGCUUUACCAAUGUAAGUGACAAAUGAAAGCUAAACUUAGAGUUUACCUCCUCUAGGAAGCCCUUUGUACAUAAUUCCAUCUCACAUUGAUAAUCUCCAUAAUUUACAUUCCUGUAUCUCUACCUAUUUGAAAUCACUGAAGUUCAUAGUAAUGGUUAACCUGAAUAUUUACAAUGUUAUUUUAAGAUAUAUUUUCUUUUUUAACCAUCAAAACAAUCCAGUGAGGUGGGGAUAUUCAUAAUUAUGCUAUAGAGGGAAGAUACUCAAUGAGUAUAAAAUAACUUGCUCAGGGUCACAUGGCCAAUAAGUAGCAGACAAUAUUUGAACUUUAGUCCUUUGACACUCAGUUCAUAUGUCAUCUUGUCUAUGAACCUCUCCUGAUAGUCCUGAUAGUACCUGCUAUCCCUACACUGGAUUAAUUCAAUUACCUAUUCUUUUAUAUACUUCAUUUAUGCCUUUAUUCUAGCGUGUAUCAUGUUGUAUUUUGGAAGUUGUAGAUAUGAAUAGAGUUUAUGGUUUAUUUUCUUUGUUUUUGUUUUUUUUUUCUGCUAAAUUAUAUACUGCUUAAGGCCUUAAAUCUUCUCUAAGUCCCCAGGACAUCACCUGGUGCCUUACCCAUAGUUAGCAUAAAUUUAAUGUUCAUGAAGUAGAUGAAUUGAUGCACCAAAGUAAUUGUUUCUAUACUGAGUAGAACCUAGUUUAGAGAUACAUUCACAAUAACUUGAAAUAAAACAUUUACUGAGUAAUAAUAAAAUACCAAAUAAAUCCAAUGGAAAUUAUUAAAAGAUUUAGAGGAGAUAUCUUUUAGGAAGGAGGCUAAAUAAUUAGAACUUAUUGUUUAUUAAAGAGGGAAAAGGGGGGAUCCCUGGGUGGCGCAACGGUUUGGCGCCUGCCUUUGGCCCAGGGCGCGAUCCUGGAGACCUGGGAUCGAGUCCCACAUCGGGCUCCCGGUGCAUGGAGCCUGCUUCUCCCUCUGCCUGUGUCUCUGCCUCUCUCUCUCUCUGUGACUAUCAUAAAAAUAAAAAAAAAAUUAAAAAAAAAAUUUAAAGAGGGAAA